GUACUUGCUUUUACUAAAUCAGUUAUGGUUCACUAGAUCGUAAAUUUUACACGGAUAACUGUGGUAAUUCUAGAGCUAAUACGUGCAACCAGCUCGCUUCCUUGUGGAGCGAGCGCAGUUAUUAGAACAAGACCAAUCCGGCCUUCGGGUCGGUACAAUUGGUGACUCUGAAUAACCGAAGCGGAGCGCAUGGUCUCGUACCGGCGCCAGAUCUUUCAAGUGUCUGACUUAUCAGCUUGUUGUUAGGUUAUGUUCCUAACAAGGCUUCAACGGGUAACGGGGUAUCAGGGUCCGAUACCGGAGAGGGAGCCUGAGAAACGGCUACCACAUCCAAGGAAGGCAGCAGGCGCGCAAAUUACCCACUCCUAGCACAGGGAGGUAGUGACGAAAAAUAACGAUGCGAGGGCUUAUAGCUUCUCGUAAUCGGAAUGGGUACACUUUAAAUCCUUUAACGAGGAUCUAUUGGAGGGCAAGUCUGGUGCCAGCAGCCGCGGUAAUUCCAGCUCCAAUAGCGUAUAUUAAAGUUGCUGCGGUUAAAAAGCUCGUAGUUGGAUCUGGGCUUCUGAAUGGAUGGUGCGCUUUACGGUGCUACUGUCCGUUUGGUGCCACAAGCCGGCCAUGUAGUGCAUGCUCUUCAUUGAGUGUGCAUUGCGACCGGAACGUUUACUUUGAAAAAAUUAGAGUGCUCAAAGCAGGCGUACGGCCUUGCAUAAUGGUGCAUGGAAUAAUGGAAUAGGACCUCGGUUCUAUUUUGUUGGUUUUCGGAACUCGAGGUAAUGAUUAAUAGGAACAGACGGGGGCAUUCGUAUUGCGGCGUUAGAGGUGAAAUUCUUGGAUCGUCGCAAG
rnacentral:rRNA from 1 species